UGCUUCCAUUAUUCUUCCUCACGAUUUCAUAGAAGAGUAAUACGAAAAAAAUUCAGAUCUGCAAUUCAUUCAUCCACGUUUCUUCUUCUUUCAAGCAGCUGUCACAAGAGCCGCAAGGUUCAUUUCACCGCCCCAUCAAACGUCCGUCGUGUGUUGAUUAGCGCACCUCUCUCUGGUGACCUUCGUUCAAAGUACAUCGUGCGUUCUCUUCCCGUUCGUAAGGAGGAUGAAGUUCAGGUUGUGAGAGGAACCUUCAAGGGACGUGAAGGGAAGGUUGUGCAAGUUUAUCGCAGGAAAUGGGGAGAUGGUUGUUGGGUUUGAUGAAGUUACUGGGUUAA
rnacentral:lncRNA from 1 species